rnacentral:rRNA from 1 species
AUGAAGAAGGGUGGCAGGAAAACGAGCAGGUGCUUCUUCUGCCUCGGCGCGCCGAUUCGCGCGCUGUCGAGGGCGUGCGACCUCUACGUGAGCUGCAUGUCCGGCUGCGCGCGCCGCAUGCCGGCGGGGGCUGUGGUGGGUGGCCGCGGCUUCGGCGGGCCGGCCACGACCAUGCACCUGCGGGCGAGCUCGGAUCGCGCCGACGACCCUGUCCGUGCCGCGUCGAAACAGCGCCGCGUCGCGCCCGAGCCGGUGGACGUCGGGGCAGCGAAGAGGAAGGUCCACCUUAGCCAGGCGCCGGCGGCCGUCCUGUCGCGGAGGAAGCCCCCGGCGACGAUGGUGACCAUCGCUGAGGACGGGCCGUGCGAGUUCGGCGCCUGCCCGCUGAAACGUCCAGAGCAGAGGAGUCGCGGCGCGGCGGUGGGCGGACUGGCCGCGCGCGGCGGUGGUUUUGGUGCCAUCAAGGUGGGGAGCAAGGCAUUCGAGAGCCGACCGUGA